AUGGGUGUUGGCUCGAACAACUCGCAUUGGUCUCAAACCAAUGACAUGCAUUUUGAAGACCAUGAGUUCGAGGUGGACGAGGAUGGUGAGGGCAUUGUUGACGCACCGAAAGGAAGAGCGGGCAAUUACACCAACGCCGAAGAAAUCUUACUAUGCAAUACUUGGUUGCAAGUGUCGAGGGAUCCAUCCAUUGGAGGUGAUCAAAGUAGAGACGCUUAUUGGCUCCGAAUGAAAGAACACUUUGAUCUUCACAACAUGAGUGGAAUUGACCGCUCCGCACGAUCUCUUCGCUCCCGGUGGUCGACCAUCAAUAGGGAUUGUCAACAAUGGUCGGCCGCACAAAAAGCGGUUGACAAGUUGAACCCAAGUGGCACCAAUGAUGAUGAUAGGGUAAGUUUGGUUUCAUCAUUUCUCAUGUUCACAUCUCAUGCUUGUUGUUGGUGUUUCUUGUGCUAA
rnacentral:rRNA from 1 species